AUAUUCCCGUACUUGGUGUUACUGCGAAGGGGGGACGGAGAAGGCUAUGUUGGCCGGGCGACGGUUGUCCCGGUUUAAGCGUGUAGGUGUGUGUUCCAGGUAAAUCCGGUUCACUUUAACACUGAGGCGUGACGACGAGGCACUACGGUGCUGAAGCAACAAAUGCCCUGCUUCCAGGAAAAGCCUCUAAGCAUCAGGUAACAUCAAAUCGUACCCCAAACCGACACAGGUGGUCAGGUAGAGAAUACCAAGGCGCUUGAGAGAACUCGGGUGAAGGAACUAGGCAAAAUGGUGCCGUAACUUCGGGAGAAGGCACGCUGACACGUAGGUGAAGUGAUUUACUCAUGGAGCUGAAGUCAGUCGAAGAUACCAGCUGGCUGCAACUGUUUAUUAAAAACACAGCACUGUGCAAACACGAAAGUGGACGUAUACGGUGUGACGCCUGCCCGGUGCCGGAAGGUUAAUUGAUGGGGUCAGCGCAAGCGAAGCUCCUGAUCGAAGCCCCGGUAAACGGCGGCCGUAACUAUAACGGUCCUAAGGUAGCGAAAUUCCUUGUCGGGUAAGUUCCGACCUGCACGAAUGGCGUAAUGAUGGCCAGGCUGUCUCCACCCGAGACUCAGUGAAAUUGAACUCGCUGUGAAGAUGCAGUGUACCCGCGGCAAGACGGAAAGACCCCGUGAACCUUUACUAUAGCUUGACACUGAACAUUGAGCCUUGAUGUGUAGGAUAGGUGGGAGGCUUUGAAGUGUGGACGCCAGUCUGCAUGGAGCCGACCUUGAAAUACCACCCUUUAAUGUUUGAUGUUCUAACGUGGACCCGUUACCCGGGUUGCGGACAGUGUCUGGUGGGUAGUUUGACUGGGGCGGUCUCCUCCUAAAGAGUAACGGAGGAGCACGAAGGUUGGCUAAUCCUGGUCGGACAUCAGGAGGUUAGUGCAAUGGCAUAAGCCAGCUUGACUGCGAGCGUGACGGCGCGAGCAGGUGCGAAAGCAGGUCAUAGUGAUCCGGUGGUUCUGAAUGGAAGGGCCAUCGCUCAACGGAUAAAAGGUACUCCGGGGAUAACAGGCUGAUACCGCCCAAGAGUUCAUAUCGACGGCGGUGUUUGGCACCUCGAUGUCGGCUCAUCACAUCCUGGGGCUGAAGUAGGUCCCAAGGGUAUGGCUGUUCGCCAUUUAAAGUGGUACGCGAGCUGGGUUUAGAACGUCGUGAGACAGUUCGGUCCCUAUCUGCCGUGGGCGCUGGAGAACUGAGGGGGGCUGCUCCUAGUACGAGAGGACCGGAGUGGACGCAUCACUGGUGUUCGGGUUGUCAUGCCAAUGGCACUGCCCGGUAGCUAAAUGCGGAAGAGAUAAGUGCUGAAAGCAUCUAAGCACGAAACUUGCCCCGA
rnacentral:rRNA from 1 species